CAGUUACUUGUGAAUGUAUAAUAUAAUACGAGUGUGUCUUCCUCUUUAUAGCAGCUCUCCUCUAGUACUGGAGAUUUCCGCAUUAUCUUUCUCAGAUAAAACUUUCCCCGCGCCGAUUUUCAAUUUCAGCUUCGCCCCUCCCCGCCGUUAUUAAGCCAAUUCCCUUUUUUUUUUUUUCCCUUUGUGCAUAUUCAAUAAGCUGAGGAAAAGAAACCAACAGGGAUUGCCUUAGUAACGGCGAGUGAAGUGGCAAAAGCUCGAAUUUGAAAUCUGCCGCCCGGCCGAGUUGUAAUUUGCAGAGGAAUCUUUGGGUAAAAUUCGCUCCAAGUCCCCUGGAACGGGGUGCCAUAGAGGGUGAGAGCCCCGUUGGAGAUGUUGUUUAGCCUGCAUGAAGAUCCUUCAACGAGUCGAGUAGUUUGGGAAUGCUGCUCUAAAUGGGAGGUAAAUUCCUUCUAAAGCUCAAUAUUAGCCAGAGACCGAUAGCGCACAAGUAGAGUGAUCGAAAGAUGAAAAGCACUUUGAAAAGAGAGUUAAAAGCACGUGAAAUUGUUGAAAGGGAAGUACUUGUAACCAGACAUGCACUAUGUGGAUUCGCUACUGUUACCAGUGGUGUACUCUGCUUAGAGUAGGCUAACAUGAGUUUUUCAAGGGGGAUAAAAGCAGUAGGAAUGUAACUCGUUGAGUAUUAUAGACUAUUGUAAAAUACCCCUAGGAAAACUGAGGAAAGCGUUUUGCAAGGAUGU
rnacentral:rRNA from 1 species